rnacentral:rRNA from 1 species
AUUGAACGCUGGCGGCAGGCUUAACACAUGCAAGUCGAGCGGGGUGAGGUGCUUCGGUACUGAUCCUAGCGGCGGACGGGUGAGUAAUGCUUAGGAAUCUGCCAUUUAGUGGGGGACAACAUUCCGAAAGGGAUGCUAAUACCGCAUACGUCCUACGGGAGAAAGCAGGGGAUCUUCGGACCUUGCGCUAAAUGAUGAGCCUAAGUCGGAUUAGCUAGUUGGUGGGGUAAAGGCCUACCAAGGCGACGAUCUGUAGCGGGUCUGAGAGGAUGAUCCGCCACACUGGGACUGAGACACGGCCCAGACUCCUACGGGAGGCAGCGGUGGGGAAUAUUGGACAAUGGGCGGAAGCCUGAUCCAGCCAUGCCGCGUGUGUGAAGAAGGCCUUUUGGUUGUAAAGCACUUUAAGCGAGGAGGAGGCUACCUGGAUUAAUACUCUGGGAUAGUGGACGUUACUCGCAGAAUAAGCACCGGCUAACUCUGUGCCAGCCGCCGCAGUAAUAC